GGAUAUUUUCAGAGGAUGGAAUGGGAAGGCAUUUAGGGUGAGAGGUUUCUUGCUUUGGCUAGUGCUCCCUUUUGAAGUUUGUCGAAUUUGGAGGAAGAAAUGAAUGCCUCUUCAUUGCUAAGGUGGCCGAUUUGGGAGUGGUAUUCAUAAGGAUUAAGGGAUCUCUGGUUUAUUGGGUUCUCUCAUGUGAAGAACAUCGCAAACUGAAUUUGUCUAUUCAAAUUGGUCAUGAAUGCUUUUGUUGAAACAGGAUGUCUUUUUAAAUUGGUCAUGAAUGCUUUUCUUUCAAUGGGAACAUGGAAGCUCUCUCUCAUGAAGAAGUUAGUGAUGUGUGUUUUGUUGAAAGAGGAUGUCUUUUCAAAUUGGCCAUGAAUGCUUCAUGUGCACAAGGUUUCAAAUCCAACCAUUUAUAACUGGAGCCAGUCUCCGAAGGAAAUGUGGAAGCUGGAUAUAGAUGGCAUUGUGUCUUCUAGGAGGGGGCUGGGUAUGGGGAUAUUCUCAGAGACUUGGAAGGUAAUGUUAAAUUCUUGCUAAGAGGAAGUUGACAUCCGUAACUGAAUGCCAAGGCCAUGUGGUAACAGUGUUGUAACGGAUUGGUGGGUGUAACAGUCCCCACUGAUACUCUACAUUCCUGUAACGGCCAUUAUGCCCCUGUAAUGUUUGCUUUUUAAGUAAAAAAAUCAGAAAAAUAUGAAAAAGAUUAUAAAUA